rnacentral:rRNA from 1 species
AACGAACGCUGGCGGCAUGCCUAACACAUGCAAGUCGAACGGUGCCUUCGGGCAUAGUGGCGCACGGGUGCGUAACGCGUGGGAAUCUGCCUUUCGGUUCGGAAUAACUCAGGGAAACUUGAGCUAAUACCGGAUAACGUCGCAAGACCAAAGAUUUAUCACCGAAAGAUGAGCCCGCGUAGGAUUAGCUAGUUGGUGAGGUAAAGGCUCACCAAGGCGACGAUCCUUAGCUGGUCUGAGAGGAUGAUCAGCCACACUGGGACUGAGACACGGCCCAGACUCCUACGGGAGGCAGCAGUGGGGAAUAUUGGACAAUGGGCGAAAGCCUGAUCCAGCAAUGCCGCGUGAGUGAUGAAGGCCUUAGGGUUGUAAAGCUCUUUUACCCGGGAAGAUAAUGACGGUACCGGGAGAAUAAGCCCCGGCUAACUCCGUG